ACUGCUCAGUAACACGUGGACAACCUGCCCUUAGGACGGGGAUAAACCCGGGAAACUGGGUAUAAUACCCGAUAGGUCUCGAUUGCUGGAAUGCAUCGAGAUUUAAAGCUCCGGCGCCUAAGGAUGGGUCUGCGGCCUAUCAGGUAGUAGUGGGUGUAGCGUACCUACUAGCCUACGACGGGUACGGGUUGUGAGAGCAAGAGCCCGGAGAUGGAUUCUGAGACACGAAUCCAGGCCCUACGGGGUGCAGCAGGCGCGAAAACUUUACAAUGCUGGCAACAGCGAUAAGGGAACCUCGAGUGCCAGGUUACAAAUCUGGCUGUCGAGAUGCCUAAAAAGCAUUUCAUAGCAAGGGCCGGGCAAGACCGGUGCCAGCCGCCGCGGUAACACCGGCGGCUCGAGUGGUAACCGUUACUUUUGGGUCUAAAGGGUCUGUAGCCGGCCGGAUAAGUCUCUUGAGAAAUCUGGCAGCUUAACUGUCAGGCUUUCAGGAGAUACUGUCUGGCUCGAGGCCGGGAGAGGUGAGAGGUACUUCAGGGGUAGGGGUGAAAUCUUGUAAUCCUUGAAGGACCACCAGUGGCGAAGGCGUCUCACCAGAACGGACCUGACGGCAAGGGACGAAAGCUAGGGGCACGAACCGGAUUAGAUACCCGGGUAGUCCUAGCCGUAAACGAUACUCGCUAGGUGUCGGCCACGGUGCGACCGUUGUCGGUGCCGUAGGGAAGCCGUGAAGCGAGCCACCUGGGAAGUACGGCCGCAAGGCUGAAACUUAAAGGAAUUGGCGGGGGAGCAC
rnacentral:rRNA from 1 species